UAAGCCCUGCUCAGAAGUCAAGAGCGGCAGCGCCGCCGCUUUGGCGCGGCCUUUCAUGACGCGGUCGCUCGGUAUUCUUGUGCCUCGGCCUCUCUGGUCGCCCCCGGACAAAGCCACCGGAGCCCGGCCGCUCCCUUCCCGCUAAAUCCCCUUCGGGGUCAAUGCGCUACCAGCACCAGGCCGCGCGCUUCUCCUGCCAGCCAUGUGGCUCUUAAAGAGCCGUACCACCGCCCCCUCCGUCCUGCGCGCUCCCCAGACCCCCGCCUCCCCGCCCCUCUCCUCUGGAUCUAGCCCCCCACGCCGACGCCUUAGGUCCCUGCUGCCCCGAC
rfam:Mustela putorius furo unplaced genomic scaffold scaffold00038, whole genome shotgun sequence.